rnacentral:rRNA from 1 species
UACGUAGGGUGCGAGCGUUAAUCGGAAUUACUGGGCGUAAAGCGUGCGCAGGCGGUUCUCCAAGUCCGUUGUGAAAGCCCCGGGCUCAACCUGGGAAUGGCAGUGGAAACUAGGGAACUUGAAUCUGGCAGAGGGGGGUGGAAUGCCGCGUGUAGCAGUGAAAUGCGUAGAGAUGCGGCGGAACACCGAUGGCGAAGGCAGCCCCCUGGGCUGAGAUUGACGCUCAGGCACGAAAGCGUGGGGAGCAAACAGG